rnacentral:rRNA from 1 species
CCUACGGGGGCAGCAGUCGAGAAUCAUUCACAAUGGGGGAAACCCUGAUGGUGCGACGCCGCGUGGGGGAAUGAAGGUCUUCGGAUUGUAAACCCCUGUUAUGUGGGAGCAAAUUAAAAAGACAGUACCACAAGAGGAAGAGACGGCUAACUCUGUGCCAGCAGCCGCGGUAAUACAGAGGUCUCAAGCGUUGUUCGGAAUCACUGGGCGUAAAGCGUGCGUAGGCUGUUUCGUAAGUCGGGUGUGAAAGGCGGGGGCUCAACCGGCGGACGGUAGAUGAUACUGCGUGACUAGAGUAAUGGAAGGGGAGCCGGAAUUCUCGGUGUAGCAGUGAAAUGCGUAGAUAUCGAGAGGAACACUCGUGGCGAAGGCGAGUUCCUGGACAUUAACUGACGCUGAGGCACGAAGGCCAGGGGAGCGAAAGGGAUUAGAUACCCGGGUAGUC